rnacentral:rRNA from 1 species
CCAGACUCCUACGGGAGGCAGCAGUGGGGGAUAUUGCACAAUGGGGGAAACCCUGAUGCAGCGACACCGCGUGGGUGAGGAAGCGCUUCGGCGUGUAAAGCCCUAUCAGUGGGGAAGAAAAAGGACGGUACCCAAAGAAGAAGCACCGGCUAAAUACGUGCCAGCAGCCGCGGUAAUACGUAUGGUGCAAGCGUUAUCCGGAAUGACUGGGUGUAAAGGGAGCGUAGACGGUUGUACAAGUCUGACGUGAAAGCCCGGGGCUCAACCGCGGGACUGCUUUUGAAACUGUGUAGCUAGAGUGCAGGAGAGGUAAGUGGAAUUCCUAGUGUAGCGGUGAAAUGCGUAGAUAUUAGGAGGAACACCGGUGGCGAAGGCGGCUUACUGGACUGUAACUGACGUUGAGGCUCGAAAGCGUGGGGAGCAAACAGGAUUAGAUACCCGCGUAC